rnacentral:lncRNA from 1 species
AGAACCUUUCUAUCCCUCCUCAAAGACACUGUGGUGUCUGGAGCAUCACUGCAUCGUCACGUUAUGCCACACAGGAACCAAGCUGCUUCCUUUGGGUGUCUACCCUGUCGGCUCCCACGGGCUCCAGGGCUAAUGUGGGGACACAUGAUGACACAUAAUCAUGCCGGAGAGGACACUGGCUGUGCAGUACCUGAAGCCCGGUGCUAGGGCCUGGACACCCAGCUGGACCCCAACUCUUCAGCGCAACUCACUGUUGUUUGCAGUACAAUGACUCUUUUUUUUCAGAGUGGCCCCACUGCCCACACUCACCAAUGG